CCCGAAAGAUGGUGAACUAUGCCUGAAUAGGGUGAAGCCAGAGGAAACUCUGGUGGAAGCUCGUAGCGGUUCUGACGUGCAAAUCGAUCGUCAAAUUUGGGUAUAGGGGCGAAAGACUAAUCGAACCAUCUAGUAGCUGGUUCCCUCCGAAGUUUCCCUCAGGAUAGCUGGAGCCCGAACUAUGUGUGUAGUUUUAUCAGGUAAAGCGAAUGAUUAGAGGUAUUGGGGUUGAAAUGACCUCAACCUAUUCUCAAACUUUAAAUGGGUAAGAGGUGUAGCUUGCUUCAGUGAAGUUGCACAGAUUAAUUUCUCGUUUUGGAAUACAGGGGCUCUUAGUGGGCCAUUUUUGGUAAGCAGAACUGGCGAUGCGGGAUGAACCGAACGCUGGGUUAAGGUGCCCAAGUCAACGCUCAUGAGAUCCCAGGAAAGGUGUUGGUUGAUACAGACAGCAGGACGGUGGCCAUGGAAGUCGGAAUCCGCUAAGGAGUGUGUAACAACUCACCUGCCGAAUCAACUAGCCCUGAAAAUGGAUGGCGCUCAAGCGUUGCACCUAUCCCCGGCCGCCGUGUGGAGAUAGCCAGUGCUGGUGACACGGCGUGUAGGAGGGCGCAGGGCUGUGUGUUGGUAUGCUGUGCAGGCUGGUGCGUGAGCCCGGCUGAAGCUGGCCCUGGUGCAGAUCUUGGUGGUAGUAGCAAUUAUUCAAAUGAGAACUUUGAAGGCCGAAGUGGAGAAGGGUUCCACGUGAACAGCAUUUGGACGUGGGUGAGUCGGUCCUAAGAGAUGGGCGAAAGCCUGGUUAGUAAGGGUGCA
rnacentral:rRNA from 1 species